GCUAUUAGAGAUGGAGUCUCUAACCACUACAAAUCUAAACCUCUGGAAUAACCAAUUUCAAUGACCAUCAUCACACCAAAAAUUUAUGCAUGAAAAGCAUAAAUAAUACCUAACCUCUAAGAAAAACAACCAAGAAUGGAUUAAGAGCUAUCAUAAAAUAUACCAGCACGCACAAUAACCUUUGGGCUACUAAGAGUGGCACCAUCAAUAUUACACUUGGGUGGUAUAAAUACACUUCUUUGAUCACUGGAACUUUG
rnacentral:lncRNA from 1 species